rnacentral:rRNA from 1 species
AGAGUUUGAUCCUGGCUCAGGAUGAACGCUAGCGGCAGGCUUAACACAUGCAAGUCGAGGGGGCAGCGAUAAUGGAUAGCAAUAUCUAUGGUGGCGACCGGCGCACGGGUGCGUAACGCGUAUGCAACCGUACCUUAACAGGGGGAUAACACUGAGAAAUUGGUACUAAUACCCCAUAAUAUCAUAGAAGGCAUCUUUAUGG